UCGGGAAUUUUGGGCAAUGGGCGAAAGCCUGACCCAGCAACGCCGCGUGAAGGAUGAAGUAUUUCGGUAUGUAAACUUCGAAAGAAUAGGAAGAAUAAAUGACGGUACUAUUUAUAAGCUCCGGCUAACUACGUGCCAGCAGCCGCGGUAAUACGUAGGGAGCAAGCGUUGUUCGGAUUUACUGGGCGUAAAGCGCAUGUAGGUGGCUUGAAAAGUUGGACGUGAAAGCUCCUGGCUUAACUGGGAGAGGUCGUACAAAACUAGCAAGCUUGAGGUUGGAAGAGGAGAGCAGAAUUCCCGGUGUAGUGGUGGAAUGCGUAGAUAUCGGGAGGAAUACCAGUGGCGAAAGCGGCUCUCUGGUUCAAUACUGACGCUGAGGUGCGAAAGCGUGGGGAGCAAACAGGAUUAGAUACCCCCGUAGUCCCUGAGCGGGCUGGCAAGGCGCAU
rnacentral:rRNA from 1 species